rnacentral:rRNA from 1 species
CCUGGCUCAGGACGAACGCUAGCGGCGUGCUUUAAGCAUGCAAGUGGGACGGGGUGUAGCAAUACACCUAGUCGCGAACGGCUGAGUAACACGUAAGAACUUACCUUUUGGUGGUGAAUACCUUGUCGAAAGACAAGCUAAUACAGCAUAAGAUCCACGGAUGAAAGCCCUUUACCGGGCGCCGAAAGAGAGGCUUGCGGUCUAUCAGAUAGUAGGUGGGGUAAUGGCCUACCAAGUCAACGACGGAUCGGGGACGUGAGAGCGUGACCCCUCAGAACGGGACUGAGACACGGCCCGUACACCUACGGGUGGCAGCAACUGGGAAUCGUGCGCAAUGGACGAAAGUCUGACGCCGCGACGCCGCGUGAAGGAUGAAGGCAUUCGUGUCGUAAACUUCUUUUGCCAUAGUCGAGACACUAUGGAGAAUAAGCACCGGCUAACUCUGUGCCAGCAGCAGCGGUAAUACAGAGGGUGCAAGCGUUGUCCGGAUUUAUUGGGCGUAAAGAGUCCGUAGGCUUUUCGUUAAGUCAUCUUUCAAAGACCAGAGCUCAACUUUGGGAAGGGGGAUGAUACUGGCGGAAUUGAAAGGUUUCGGGGUUACUGGAACUGUCGGUGUAGGAGUGAAAUCCGUUGAUAUCGACAGGAACACC